ACCCAUGGAUAGUUAACCUAGUCCAAAGUUCAUACCCGUGAGGUAGUUCCGACAAAAUAUACGACGUCCUGCUGCUAACCAGAUCAUGCCGUGGCCUUGCGGUGACCUCGCUACACUUAUUUGAUGAGUACGUUACCAGCUCAAUAUAGUUACCCGUUCGCAUAUUAUCCAGGAUGAUCGCGGCAUCCCUUUGGAUGUUGGAUUAACUUGUCAACUUGGACAUCAACGGCAGACAUUACACCAGACUCGUUUUAACAUGAUUUUCCACUAUAUACAUACCUAAGGAUGCCAGACCUGCGUGCUGCUCAUACCACCUCAUGGGUUUGACCUGGCCAAGCCAGUUGUUGACGAUCUAUAAUAUCUCCAUGUUGACAUUGUCUUUCCUUCCUAUAAUCCAUAUACCUCUACUAUCUUUUCGUCUCUAUACGCUUGGCGCAGAACUACAAUUGACAUAGAUAUCGAACACGGUGGACGCAGAGACCAUCCGUGCGUGGCGAAUACCUUUACUCCAAGUUUUCCUCAAUUGUCAAGUUUGGCCGCAUUAGCGUUUACAAACCGGUAACCAUUUUCACUCGAUAUAUCAAAGAGCAGAGCCCUUCAGUGUAUGUACAUACACGUACAUCCAUGGGUCACAUGGAAACGUUCCUACGGGGACAAACGGGCUUCUGUGGAAAACAAGCUUCCAUGGGAAUGGUUUGUGGAUUUUUCUAAAGUUAGUUCCUUCCGCAGCUGAGGGAAAACUGGUGAGUGAGUGACUUGACCUUAUUUUUGAUAUUCAUACAUGUCCAUGGCGAAGCUCGCUUGAAGCUUUUUCUCGGACCAGUCGUUCUCAUUUCGGUAACUAUGGCUUUACUGCAAUAUCUGCUCAUCACAAUAAUAGCGUGACGCCCAGCCUGAGCGAUGUUUACCUUGCACACGCUAGAAAUUUAAACGGAAAUAUCAAUACUGGAGCUCAAUGAAUCAGGUCCUCACAGGAUACGUAGGUUAUGAGGCCUUGAUGCCUAACUCGACAGCCAAGCUUUAGGCACCAAGCCCCUAAACUCUUCCCACUCACCCCACCCUCCUCCCCCGACUGUUAGGGGGCUUGUCAACUGGUAGUGACAUGCUUCCCAUACCAAUUUCUAGCACACAACUAUGUACAGUACUUUGGUAUAUAAUUAACCCCCUGAUGUCCUAGGCUUAGUUCUAAAUCCGGCGCUGGGUAAUCACGCAACCUGUAUAGAAAAUCCUAUACGAAUCAAGGCUAUACAAACACUGUCACACUGGAUUAAUGGGCAGCGGAGAAAUUUCAGAAGCUUCGGCGUGAAGUAUGUAUAAAGUCGAACAUCGCUCCUUUCACUAAGCCUUCGUUUUGUCUGCGAUAGUUAGACCGUAUUUCUAUCGUAUUCUAUACAUAUCCUUGUUUUCCUGCCAAUUGUCUUUCCUUUUCCUCCGGCCUGUUGACUUUCUUCGUACUGUAGUAUCUCGCAAAACAAGUUGGUUGCACAACAUUCAGUGUGACUUCCCCCCGCGAAGAACAAAAGUACGGAGAAACUUGUGCUGCUAGUUGCAGGCCUGUCAGGCCAGUAACUUAGCAUCCAGGGGCGUUAAGUUGGCGUUUUCAGCUUUGAAAGUGGUUU
rnacentral:sRNA from 1 species